CGCUCAAGAGAGCAAGAUGUUCUCGUGUUGCUUCUCCACUUUGAGAGGUUGCUGCUUCAGGAACGGAGGGAGUGAGAGCCUUUUCUGACGAUGCCGAAGAAGGCUCAUCCCUCACCCCAGACGCCUGUCGCCCGUUGUAAUAAGGCGCAUCCAGGUACCACAGGACAGCCUGGGGCAGGCCCUAGCAGGCCAGGCCACACCAGAGAUCCCAUUGGGGCUGCAGCUGCACACUGUCCUUGUCCAGGAGAUUCAGGAGCUCAUUGAGGCACAGACACGUGGUGAGGUGGCCUGCAGCCUGGAAGACUUUGCAGGGGCGGUGCUUUUGGGCUGGAAUUCCCUUAAAUUCAGUGAGGUCGUUUCUGUGUUUGGAAAUUCCAGUGGAAAGUGACUGAUGCUGGUGACCCUUUCUCCUUUCUCAGCUCCUGGUCCAUGUGCAGAAGUAAGAGCACUGCCAGCACCAGCGGCGGAGCCAGAGCCAGCAUGGGAAGAGGCCCCUCCAGAGAGAGCACUGGAGCUGGAGGGAGCUCCAGCCAAGGACCAGACCAAUGAGGAGCUGCCUGAAAUCACGGCACGUACUGUAGCCACUGGCCCUAACCCUGGAACUGAAAGCGUGGCUGGAGAGAAAAGUGGGAGGGAGGGGGUGACCAGCACAGCCCCAGCCAGCAGCUCCCAUGCUGCCCCUAGUCCUGGGCACGGUGGCAAACAUGCAGGCAGAGAGCAGGGCAUUUGGCCUGGCCUCCUGUACCUCGCUGCAGAGAGGCUUCUCUCAUUCACUAGAACCACAGUCCUGCUGCUGCAGGUCCGUUUAUUCUCCUGAUCUUGGUUUAUCUGUGUGCAGGAGGUGCCGGAGAGCAUUAAAAGAAGGCUGGGAGGAAGAGUUCCAGCAGCUACGCCUGCUCCCAGAGGCAACCUCCUCCUCCAGGCAUGGAUGCGGGUCCACAGCUGGGCAUCCAGGCUGUUUGCCCCUAAUGUGCUGCCCGGGACAGGCCCUUAACAGGCGGGCAGUGGGUGAGGGGACCAGGAGGUGGCUCCAAAGGGUAAAGCAAACAAAGCUUUUAACGACAGCCGUUGUGCCCCAGGCUCUCCAUGCCACCACCUGCC
rnacentral:lncRNA from 10 species